rnacentral:rRNA from 1 species
CGGUGGGUAACCUGCCUCAUACAGGGGAGUAACAGUUAGAAAUGACUGCUAAUACCGCAUAAGCGCACAGCAUCGCAUGAUGCCGUGUGAAAAACUCCGGUGGUAUGAGAUGGACCCGCGUCUGAUUAGCUAGUUGGUGAGGUAACGGCCCACCAAGGCGACGAUCAGUAGCCGACCUGAGAGGGUGACCGGCCACAUUGGGACUGAGACACGGCCCAA